rnacentral:lncRNA from 1 species
CCUGGGGUUUCAAAUUGAGAUGAUUAGCAAGACUAUUUCUUAGGUGAUUAAAACUGAUUCAAGGCUCAGCUCAGGGACGUAAAGUGGUUUGAAACAGUUUUAACAUACUGAAGCUUGUCGCAUCCUUGAAGUUGGCUGGUCCAAUGCAACCUAUCAGAAGAAUUGAAUGACUGAUCAGGUGCUAGAAGAUGAAGACACUUUGAACUGAAUUUGUUGCGAAAGCCAUACACUACCAAAUCUAAAUCGCGAAUAAGUGGUGAUAUCUUGGCACAAUGCCUCCUAGAGUUUCUCAUCUCAAGCUAACCUUAGAAAUUUAAAAUGCCAGGUAAGAAAUGGAAAUAUUUCUAUUUACCUGCAAGGAUGCGAUAGAUGAAUAGAGUGCAGUUAGAUGACAAAAUACAGAAUGUGUGCUUUAAGCCUUCAAAAACAUGUACUGUUACUGAGAUCUAAUAAAAGAAUUCCCAAUUAGACCAGCAAGCUCUUCAAACAAUUGAAAUAUGAACAUGACUAAAGAAAAAAGAAGGAAAAGAGCUGGAAAAUAAGGACUUACAUAAACUGUUGUCCUCAUAUAAUAUUGCGGUCAGGCCGUUAGUAUAUGAAUAAUGCAAAAUAUUACUGACAGAUAAAGGAUAGGAAGUGAGAGUGGACCUAAACAAUGGAAGUAGCAGUGGCUUUGUCGUACCAUCUCAUAGCAUUUCCAGAUCGAUAUGCAUGUGGGGGAUGUGAACAGUCAUUGGCCAAUCAGCUCCUUACUCUAAAGGCAAUGCUAAUCUGGCAUCUAUUAAGUUUAGCAAAAUCUUGACUGCUACUUUUGCAACCUUGAUGUUAUCCCAAACUUGCACAAGUACAUACAUAAUGAUUACAUUUUUUUAAUGUCAUUAACAAACCAAAUCUCAUCCAUCCUCGAAAAAUAACCUGAAUCCAAUCAAAUUCCCAAAUGAGCCUCCUUUAUAGCAACACACCAAGAGACAUCAAUCAGUUGCUAAUGCAAAGAUUGACCACAAAUCAGGCUGUGAUUGUUUGUACAAGCCAUACACUCAAAAAUACAUGUGCAUGUAUCAGUAUGCUGUAGCUUGACGCAAUGCCCUCAUAAAGCUGGUGGUGGCAUGACCUUAGAAAUGUAAACAAGUACAACGUAGGGGAAAAAAUUGAUUAGGUGCAGGAUUGCCAUCAGACUAUAUGAUAAGAUUGCUAGAUCACAAAACAAAAUACAUACUUGUGGGUUAACAGGAUCUAACAUGGGACUUCAUAUACCUAGAGGUAGCACGAUAUCUCAUACAAGGAUCAAAUUGUCCUUAGGUGCCAUAGACUAUCUUUGGAACUUCAAUCAAUGUGUUACUAGCACAAACAAUAGGAACUGGAUUUCUCAAUCUGAGAUUAGAUUACAGAGAGGUUACUGAGCUCUUUAAGCAAUAGAAUAUCUAAUCAAUUGUGAAAAACAAUGAUUAUAAUAAAAAAGAACAAAGGGAGGGCAGAUAAUAUUGGCCGGCAUAAGCUGUUGUCCUAGUAUAUUACUAGAAUUUGAAAUCAUUAAUACGCAAAGCAAAUGUAAAGUGUAA